GACGAACGCUGGCGGCGUGCCUAAUACAUGCAAGUCGAACGAACCGCGACUGAGUGCUUGCACUUGGUCAAGGUGAGUGGCGAACGGGUGAGUAACACGUGGGUAACCUACCUCAUAGUGGGGGAUAACAGUCGGAAACGACUGCUAAUACCGCAUCGGACAUAGGAUCACAUGAUCCAGUGAGGAAAGGUGGCGCAAGCUAUCGCUAAGAGAUGGACCCGCGGUGCAUUAGCUAGUUGGUCGGGUAAAGGCCUACCAAGGCGAUGAUGCAUAGCCGACCUGAGAGGAUGAUCAGCCACAUUGGAACUGAGACACGGCCCAGACUCCUACGGGAGGCAGCAGUAGGGAAUCUUCCGCAAUGGGCGCAAGUCUGACGGAGCAACGCCGCGUGAGUGAAGAAGGUCUUCGGAUCGUAAAGCUCUGUUGUUAGGGAAGAACAGCGCAUAGAGUAACUGCUAUGCGUGUGACGGUAGCUAACCAGAAAGCCACGGCUAACUACGUG
rnacentral:rRNA from 1 species